rnacentral:rRNA from 1 species
AUGACCUCACAUCAGAUGAGACUACCCGCUGAACUUAAGCAUAUC